AGUGAACGCUGGCGGUAGGCCUAACACAUCCAAGUCGAACGGCAGCACAGGAGAGCUUGCUCUCUGGGUGGCGAGUGGCGGACGGGUGAGGAAUACAUCGGAAUCUGCCCAGUCGUGGGGGAUAACGUAGGGAAACUUACGCUAAUACCGCAUACGACCUUCGGGUGAAAGAGGGGGAUCGCAAGACCUCUCGCGAUUGGAUGAGCCGAUGUCGGAUUAGCUAGUUGGCGGGGUAAUGGCCCACCAAGGCGACGAUCCGUAGCUGGUCUGAGAGGAUGAUCAGCCACACUGGAACUGAGACACGGUCCAGACUCCUACGGGAGGCAGCAGUGGGGAAUAUUGGACAAUGGGCGCAAGCCUGAUCCAGCCAUACCGCGUGGGUGAAGAAGGCCUUCGGGUUGUAAAGCCCUUUUGUUGGGAAAGAAAUCUUUCAGGCUAAUACCCUGGGAGGAUGACGGUACCCAAAGAAUAAGCACCGGCUAACUUCGUG
rnacentral:rRNA from 1 species